CAGUCAGCAGACCCAGGAGCUCCAGCCUGGCUGCCUCCUGCCCUGCUGAGACCACCCUCCACUGCCCAGGAGGGCUGAAGAGAAGUGGUGAGAGCAGGGGCGAAGGGCCCUGCUGGAGCCAACCACACCUGCCUCCCCAUCCGUGAAAUCAGCCUUGCUGUCUUGAAUGUCUUGCUACAGCUGAGUGAAGAAUGCAGGUGAAAUCCUUUGGGUACCUGGCUGGAAUCCAGAGUGACUUCCCUGAGUGGAGGAAGCCUCAGAAAGGAGGAAAAUUGCAGAGAAGAGGCUGAGGAGCAUCCCAGGGGCCUCCGUUGCAAGGAGCAGCAUCUCCUGUCUUUCUGUGCUGGGAGGUUAAUAUUCCUUGGCAUCAGAAAUUGGAUUCAAAGGAAAUGACCUCGAAGGACAACAACUCUUGGAAUUGAGCAAGGUGCCUGCACUGAGCCCCUUGUGCUCAUCGCUUCCAUGAGUUGUUCAUGACUUGCAGUUUGGGAAAAGAAUCUGAGUAAAGGGACCCAACUAUGCCUUAUUCUUAGAAGACACUAGGCUUUCUGAAAUUCAACUGACCAUGGAAACUAAACUAUAUAACUUAGAGGGACACAACUGAGAUUCUUCAUUUUUCAGUCCUUUUGUUAUUUAAAUGAGUUUCAGGUUUAGGGCUGAGCUCCAUGGGAGGAAAGAGCCAAUAGGGGAAGAUGACUGGCCCCACCGGCCGGAGGGAAGAUCACGAUGGCAGAGUCUUCUGAUCAUUUUCCUGCAGCCUGAUGUGGGCAGGGGGCUGUCUCCACCAGCUACCAGGCUGACGCUCCCUGCUCCAGUGUUUUCCUCUCUGAGAAAUAAAAGCAGUUCUUUUUUUUUUCACUUUGUCCCUCUGCCUCUACUGAGAAUUCUUUCUCCAUUGAUGGACAAGGACCCACACAUUUGGGGUGCUUUCCAGUUUGGGGGUCUCUAUCCCUAACAGAGUCACCGAGGAGUCACUCCUCUGCUUUGCCGCGGCAGGAGGACUAAGGAAGAUGCUCGCCUCAGCCGGGGGCCUUCAGCUCCCAUCCGCCCACAGUGAACGACUGGAAAGGAGAAGGGGCCGCCCCCACUAAAGGGAAGCUGAGGGCUUACACUGGAAAAGGGGAGAGUCAGGCCAUUGCUGGGAAGGGGAGAUUGGAGGUGAGGAGGACCUUCUAGGAGCCUGGGGGUUGUGGGGCAGAACAGAGGUGCUUCCCACAGGGGCCCCAGGGAGGAGCGUGGGGUGGGGCCUCCCUCAGUUGGGGGGGCCUGCUGGCCUGCUCUGUACCCGCGCUGUGCUCCGUGCCCUCUGCCCUCGGAGAUCCGCUGGGCCCCGCUGAGCCCUCCCUCACAAUAAUCCUCUGGAAGGGGACUGCUUCCAGUCCCAGCCAAGAGGAGACUGAGGCGCAGGGAAGUCUAAACCGGUGCUUCCCACGGUGUGGUCCGCAGACCUGUUCUGGUCACUGUGAGGUUAGUACAGGAAUUGAGAGCAGGUAACUGGAAACCUUUACAGCACUUUGACAGAGAAGUUGUCUGCUCUUGUAUAAUAAAACAGCUUGAAAAGAAUUGUGAAGAAGUCUUAUGAAGAAAAAUUUAAACUGUUAAUGAAAGAGUUUUCAAAGUCCUGAAUAAACAGGCAGACAUGGUGUGUUCCCAGAUGGAAAGCACUGAUAGUAUAAACAUACUCAUUCUUCCCACAUUCAUCUCUGCAGUUAGGAUAAAAACGCUACUGUUAUUAUUUGGAACUUGAAAAUGUGAUUCUGGAGCUCAGAUGGAAAAAUAAAUUUUGAGUAAAUUGCCAGACAUCAAAAUGUAAAACUAUAGUAACUUAAAAAAAAGUAUAGUCUUGGUCCAAGAAUUGGUAAACAGAUCAAUGUAAGGGAAUAAUAUUAGAGAAAAAUUACGGAAAUUAAAUGAAGAUUUUUGACAAUGUUGAAACUCUGGUACCAAAUGAAAUAAUUUCCCACUGUAGUUAAUACACGUGUCUCUAGGCAUGUUAAUUCCACUUCAUACUGCGCUGGGGAAGUCUAUAUUCAGGGGACCCAUUAAGAAAUACUCAUCGAAAACAAAAUUUUGAAGAAAAAUUCCACAAGGAAGAAAAAAAGAGUUGUUUGCUUUGCAAGAUUGUGAUUUGAAAACCAAAAUACUCUUACGGAGUUUGAUAAAUCCCACAAAUGUUUGGCUGAAAUGGGAAGGGUUUGCAGACUACGGCCUACAGACCAAAUCCAGCUGUGGCCUAGUUUUUUAAAUAAAGUUUUAUUGGAACACAGCCACACCCACUCAUUUUCAUACUGUCUAUGGCUGCUUUCAUGCCCUGAUGGCAGAGUUGAGUAGUUAUGAAAGAGACUGCAUGGCCCUUUAAAGAAAAAAUUUGCCAACCUUUGCUUUAUGUAAUUAAACUAGAAUACAUUAAAAGCUAGAUGGAGCAUAUCUAAUUAUGCUAUAAUUUAUUUUUAAUCAGAAAAAUACUCUGGGCAAUCAUUGUGUAUUUAUAAUCAUAAAAAUGUUGCAAUUAUACCCUACAAUUUGAUAAAUAUGAAAUAAACAUUAUCAUAUAAAAUGUUGGGAUUAAUGCUUUAUAUGUCUUUGGGUUUUUGUUUUC